UACGUAGGCAGCAAGCGUUGUUCGGAAUUACUGGGCGUAAAGAGUGUGUAGGCGGUGCUCUAAGUUCGGUGUGAAAUCUCCCGGCUCAACUGGGAAGGUGCGCCGAAAACUGGAGUGCUGGAGCGCGGGAGAGGAAAGCGGAAUUCCUGGUGUAGCGGUGAAAUGCGUAGAUAUCAGGAGGAACACCGGCGGUGUAGACGGCUUUCUGGACCGUAGCUGACGCUGAGACACGAAAGCGUGGGUAGCAAACAGG
rnacentral:rRNA from 1 species